rnacentral:lncRNA from 1 species
CAAAGGUUGCCAGGAGCCACCUAGGAGAAGCUAAAAAGUAAUUUUCCUAAAAUUGUUCCACCAUGGACUGCAAAGUUAUGAUGUAUUCCCUUUUUUUUUUAGGCAAGACCUAGGAGAUUACAUUUAGAAAAGAUUCCUGCUAUUAAUAUGCUUUUCCUGUUUUCAUUAAAUAUAUAUAAUAAUCACCAAGUAUUAGCCCUCCCUUUUGAGCAGAUUUCUACAGAACAAUGCAGUCUGUCUUGUAGUGUUGCUAUAUAGACAAAAAAUGAUUUUUUAAUUUUUAAUGAUUCUAUAAAAUUUCCUAAAAUUAUUAGUAAUCAUAAGCUCUUUUAUAAUAGACCUGUUAUUAAGUUGUUUCUGAUGUCAAAACUGCAAAGAGAACUCUGCCAGUCUUCAAGUGUCAUCAGUUAAUUGCUUCUGAGAUAGAAAGCAGACAUCUACAUCUUAGAGAACAUUCCAAGAGGUUGUAAAAUGAUUAACCAAAGGUCAUAAAAAGGGAACUAAUAAUUUAUUGUAUGUGUAAGGACAGGGUUUAUCUACAAAACUUCAUUGAUAACUUAUAGUCAGUUGUUCACUCUCCAUGAAUCUGUAGAGCUAGUGACAGAUAAUGUUUAGCCAGAUAAUUACUCUUAAUAGAUAUGCAUGUAAACAUUCUCUGUUAUAAACUUCUUAUUCAAUUUAUGAUUUGAAUUUAGGUUUGAACUUCUAGUGAACUUUUGUUAAAAAGGAAUGCUUGGAAUAACCAUGUGACCUGCUCUUCUAAAAAAGGUGAUUCAUACUGAAGCAAUCAUUGUGCUGUAUCUACUUUAUAUUCUCAAAGUAUUUAUAUCCUUGUGUUUGUGGAAGGAAAAAGGGAAUUUACAUUUUGUAAAAUAUUGGCAUUACUGAAUGUAAGUUGAAGUCUUUUAUAGUUCCAGUCUAUUGACACCUAACUGCUUAAAACUUUUCAUAGCCAAAAGUAAGAAGACAAAUACCCUGGGGAAAGUGGGUCAACGUUAGGAUAUGCCCUUGUGGGAAGAAAUGUGUUAAUCAUUUUCCUCAGCCAGUUUCAUGUUAGCAGCCAAUAUGAGAUCAGAGGCUAUUAUGUACCUCAAAGUGGAUAGUCACACCCAAAUUGCUAUCCUCUCAAGAGUCUUUUACCUUUCCUGUCCGGCAGUUAACCAGGUAGGGGGAAAAAUCAGUGUCAUUUCUGCAUAUACAAGUUCUUUGUUGGCAGAAUAAUUAGCAAGGAGUUCAGAGAGUUCCUUCUCAUAAAAAGCUGCAUUCCGUUUGAAGGAGUUGAAAGCAAUGAAGCUCUUCAGAGAAAUUGUUUUUUACAGAUAAAUUUCAAGUGAUGAUACAUACAGCCUCUUAGUGACACACGUGGAUUAAGUAAUAUUCUUAAAUGCACUUCAGGCUUCUGAUAUUAGCACUACAUUUUUGCUCAAGGUGGAAACUUUCCCAACCUAGUUUGUUUUGACCUAGUUUUCCAUCAUUUACCUGGCCUCAAUCCCCAAGAUUCUUCCAGGCAAAUAGACUUCUGCUUUGUCCCUGAACAUCUGACUGACCAAUCUGUACUCUUUCCCAUUACAGAUGGAAAGCAUGCGUGUGUUACACUUAUGCAGCCAAUCUGGCCACCUAUGCUCUGAACUCCAAAAGGAUAUUCUUCAAGUAGAGUUCUUUUCUGUUUUGUCUUGGGAGCAGCUUCUCUCAUGGCUGUGAAGUGCUUACAGUUCACAAAUGUUCGUUCUUCCUGUGUAUAUUAAAAGUAACCUUGUAAUCAAAGGCUGAGCUCAUGGCAAGCAGCCCCCAAAUUUUAGUGGCUUAUAAAAACAUAGACACUCAGU